rnacentral:rRNA from 1 species
UUGAACGCUGGCGGCAUGCCUUACACAUGCAAGUCGAACGGCAUCGCGGGAAAGCUUGCUUUCCUGGCGGCGAGUGGCGAACGGGUGAGUAACACAUCGGAACGUACCGGCUAGUGGGGGAUAACCCGUCGAAAGACGGGCUAAUACCGCAUACGCUCUUCGGAGGAAAGCAGGGGACCUUUGGGCCUUGCGCUAGCCGAGCGGCCGAUGUCCGAUUAGCUAGUUGGUGGGGUAAAGGCCUACCAAGGCGACGAUCGGUAGCGGGUCUGAGAGGACGAUCCGCCACACUGGGACUGAGACACGGCCCAGACUCCUACGGGAGGCAGCAGUGGGGAAUCUUGGACAAUGGGGGCAACCCUGAUCCAGCAAUGCCGCGUGGGUGAAGAAGGCCUUCGGGUUGUAAAGCCCUUUCGGCAGGGAAGAAAUCGGCGGGGCGAAUAACCCUGCUGGAUGACGGUACCUGCAGAAGAAGCAGCGGCUAACUACGUG